rnacentral:lncRNA from 1 species
GGGACGCGCCUGAACUGGAUGUCGAUGAUGCCCGAGUGGCGGAGCUUGUCGUUGAGCCCCGGCUUGGCCAUGGCGCCGAACGCCGUGCCGCUCAGGUCGAAGUGGUACCUGGCCACGGGGUAGUAGUUCAUGUCGGUGAUGAUCACCGUCUCGAUGUUGCCCGAGCACGACGGGUCCUUGUUGCACCUGAUCUGUAACAACCAAGUCAAACAAAUGGUCAACAAAAUGUGCCGCACUGCAUGUUACUCCUACAUGCAUGCUAUAGAAAAAUGUAGUAGUAGUACGUCCUGACCAAUCAAAUCAAAUGAUUGCUAAUUGCAAAAUUGGUGCCAUGGUGAAGUAAUUUGACUAGUUUUUUCGUACCUGGUAGCAUGAGCCGCAGCCCUUGCCGUCCUUGAAGAUGGGCUCGUUGCCGCAGGAGGUCAUGGACGAGAAUGGGUACUGGUUCACGUUCUUGAACCCGCAAGCGCCGCCUGCAAAUUAAAACCGACCAAAUAAUGCCAAUGCGUCAGUUCAGAGACCAAGCAAAAGCACAGAUGAGCACCACAAGCAUCAUCAGUAGCUGCAAAAUGCGCACCGUUGUCGUCAGGGCCGGCGCCGGUGGGAGCGCCAUACCAGGUUGCCCGGGCAGGGAGCCAGCCGGAGCCGUAGGCGGAGGCGUCGGAGACGUUGUAGUUCACAGGAUGCCCCUUGCAAGAGCCAUGCACCACGAGCACGGACAGAAUCGCGAGGAUUGCAGCGACCUUGCUGCCCAUUCUGGCUGCCAUCCUAGCUAGCUCGAAAAAUCUUCAGCUCGGAGAAGAGCAGUAGGCUAGCUAGAACUGGCAGCAGCAGCAGUAGUAGUGGUAGUAAGUAUUGUCUGGUGUGUGGUUUGAUGGUUGGAAUCGGAGGCCAUUGCCGGUGUAUUUAUAGGCAGGGCAAAACGAGAGGGGAAGGGAACCAAAUGUAAUGGACGAGCAACACGGCGGCAUCAAGGGGUCGUUGCACCCGACGUGGCCACCGGCCGGCGUGGUAGAGAGAGAGCUAGCUGUGUCACAUGGCUAGGGAGAAAAUCAUGGACGGAUGGAGGGUUCGGUUCACGAGUUCGUACCAUUAUAAAAUCACAUCUUUGGCAGUUAUCCCAUGUUAUGAUAUUGUGGACGAUACGUACCUGCCAAAUGAUCGAUCGUAUGAAUUUUUUUUUUGUGGUAAGGAAGAUGAAUGAUCGAUUAUAUUCCAGAAUAUGUAUAUAGUUUCUCGUUUCAGAUUUAGAUCGAUGCAUGCACAGAUCGAUUGCAUGAUGGGUCAUUGACGUUGUUUCGGGGAACGGAAGAGAUUCCAUAAUAAGGCACCAGAAAUAACCACGCAAUCACAGAGAGAGAUCAAUCAGCAGGGGCAGGUUGAUUAGGGACAAUAAUCUCGGUAUCAUUUGAAGCAAUCAUUUGUACCCAACGCUCUUCUAGGGUGACCAUAUCAUUGUAGUAUCACCAUUGUGCGUAACUAACGCGUAGGUAGUGUGAAACCACCUAGUGACCGUCCUAAAUAUAAUCGCCAACUCUAAUAUUGUAUUGACAGAGUGACACGGUAGUGUGAUACAUAUGUGCAUAGACAGCAUAGUUGCAUACUAGCCGUAUUUUUGUCCCUUACAAAAAUGUGGAUAUAUAUGGUAGUUACAACUUACAGGAUACCCUGCAAAAAGUGAAUGGAAAGAAGGCAUCUCACUAAGAUUCAGGACACAUGCCAAGCACGACUUUGCUGACUUCCCACCGGUGUUUUAAGGGCACCCGCAAUGAUUAUUUAUAAGCUCUUUACAAGAGAUCCAUGUCAGCAUAUUUUUCUACUUGGAAGUGAUUAAAUGAAGAGAGAGAGAGCAAAGCUAUCUACUAACCUGAAGAUAGUUUAUAGAGAAAAACGAGACAAUAGAUUAGAGAGCUAUAGAUUCCCAUGUAGACAUACCAUUGAAGUGGUUUAAUAUUAAUCUAAUUUAUUGCUGAGAUGUACAUGUUUUAUAGAUAACACCUUACUUUACCAUUACAGGUGCUCUUAAGUAAAAAAAAUGAUGCGAGGAUAUACCGAUCACAUCCACACAGUGAUACAAUCAUUGACAUAUGCACCGUAUCGAGAUACGGUGCUUUGGGCUCUGGCUGGUGAGUCUGGUUAUAUAGUAGUAUAUACACUGACACAUCCAUUAGUAACUGUGAAUAGUGAAUUAGAGCACCCGCAAUGGUAAAGUAAGGUGUUCUCUAUAAAACAUGUACAUCUCAGCAAUAGACUAGAUUAAUAGUAAACCACCUCAAUAGUAUGUCUACAUGGGUAUCUAUAGCUCUCUCAUGCAUUGUCUCGUUUUUCUCUAUAGAUUAUCUCCAGGUUAGUAGAUAGCUUUGCUCUCUCUCUCUUCAUUUAAUCUAUUCCAAGUAGGAAAAUAUGCUGACAUGGAUCUCUUAUAGAGAGCCUAUAGAUAACCAUUGCGGGUGCCCUUACUCCCUCAAUUUCAAAUUGAUCUAUAUAUUUCAUGGGUACACCAAGAUCAAGAAAAGCUAAUAACUCUCUCAUACUAUAUUUACUCUAGCAACAAACUCAAUGCAUACAUCAUCCCCAUUAUUUCCUAGCCAAUAGCAAAUCAAGAUAUUGCAUGUGGGUUAUAAAUGCUUGUGUACGCAUGGAUGCAUGCAUCAAUGUCCAUUUAUUCCCAGGCACAAAUAACGAAUAGACCUAAUAAAUGAACACAAAUAUGUAAAUCAUUUAGGAAUAACCUCAAAAAAAAACUAUAUGUAGAUCAAUUUGAAAUUGAGGGAGCAGUACUAAACAUGUACAAAGGCAAUGUGUAAAAAACUAGAAGAGGCAUCAAGAGAAUUUUUUUUUUAUCAUAGCAAAGGCUCUAUACUGCAAACACGGGUCUUAAACACCAAGCAUAGCAAAGGGGUUCUUCCCUUAAUACCAGGUACUUUAAAUAAAGAUUACUAUGUCCGUCCCAGAAUAUAAAGAGUUUUAGAGUUAGACAUGGUUAUUAAUAAAGUAGGUAAAAAGAAAUUAUAGAAUAUUAUGAUUGGUUGAUAAGUGAAGGUUUGUGGGAAAAUUGAAUGGUGAAGGGUUGUAAUUGGUUGAGAAUGGAAUGUUGGUGAAUAAGUUGUUAUAUUUUGGGACAAAUCCUAAAGGCUAAAAGUUGUUAUAUUUUGAGAUGGAGUGAGUAGUAUUCAUGAAGAAAUCCACUUUAAUUUCCAUGGGUGUGAGAGGCGGAUCUAGGGCUUGAGCCCCCAUGAAGCCCCCACAUGUUUUUUUUUCAUACGUAGAUAGGAGAGCGGACUGUUGUAGCUUUGUUCUAGUUUGUUCAGACAUUACUACUAUUCUUCUUGGAUCCGCCCCUGAUGGGUGUUGAUCCUAUUAUAGAGUUAGGUGUGUUCUAUACACUACACAAAUCUCUAUUAUAUUUAUGCAUAGUGUGUGAACUCACCUUAAUUAAUACUCAUGGGGUUUAUAUGAAUGCUCUAACACUAUCUGCACUAUCUACUGAUUAGCUAUACCCAGUGUCAGAUGUACCGUAAAUUCUCAAGGAAUUUUAGAACCACAAUCUAAAUAUUAAGUUGUAGCUCGGAUUAGGCCUGUGCAACAAGCAAGACCAAUAAAAUCUAAAUACAUGAUAUUGUUCUGGGGUGAAACCUACGUACUCAUGAUGUAGCGAGUUGAAUUAGGUUACACUCCUUUUUAUUUGGCAAAAAUACAUUUUUAACACGAAAUUUGUGUUCCAAAAUCAAAGCCAUGAGAAUUUUAAUUUAAAACAUUAUGGACAAAUCAAUCCAUAAAGGAACCUUAAAGAAAAAAGUGAUUAUUCAAAAGAUAACAGAGCAAGCUAUUAUAGUGGGUCCAUAAUUUUCUGAAUUUUUCUCCAUUUUGUCCUUUACCUCAUCCAAACAUCUAUUUUCCUAGAAUUUAUAUGUUUUUGAAUCAUCUAUUUUACACGUGCAUUUCUGUCCUAUUCUUGUAUUUUUCAUGUAUUCCUCUAUUUCAAAAUUAUAUGUUUCAAAGGAGCCCUUAAGUUUCCCAUACGGCCAUACCCAUUGGACAUAAGUAAAACUCUGGACUCAUGUUUUUAAAACUCAAGUUCACACUAUACAGCUUCAAAUUUUUGCUGAAAUUUGUUAGGACAUCACCUGUCAGGGACCCACGUCUCUAUGACUUUACGUCAGAGGAGCUCCGUUCGGCUGGGCCUUAGCUCCACCAUUGGUAGUGAGGUGGAUCAAGUUUUAUUGAUACUUUGUAUAUAGGAUUUUUUUUUGAACCUUCAGGUAUGCUUGUAUCUUACUUUACUUACACAGCUGUGGGUGCGUCCUCUAAUACAUGUUGAAAGAAAUGAAUAGACCAACGGCAACUCCCUACUCUUAUAAAAGUCCUUUUGAAAGCGGAGUUGAGGGUGUGAGCACGACUAUGUCUCCAUAGUAUUGGUACUUUGCCAACUCCUACCUAUUUUGUACUCUCUUUACUUGAUAUAAGUUCCCCUUUUUUUUUCUCAACUAUCAUCUAGUUUUACUGCUUCUAAUCAAAGAAUGGAACUUAGGGCAUGUUUGGUAGAGCUCCAACUCUUAAAUUUAGUUUCAGGAGUUAAGUCUGAAGUGAAGUUGUGGAGCAGCCUAUACACAGCUCCACCUCUCUGGUUCAUUUUAUGAGAGUGCUUCACCCAACUUCGCUCUUAUUUUAGGCAGAGAUGAAAUUGUUUGGCUGAGCUCCAGCAUUAGGAGAGGUGAAGCUGAAGCUAGAGUUUUACCAAACAGACCCUUAGACAAAGAAUUGGCUGAUACGGAAUGCAGACUGUGAUUUAAUUAAUUUGUCUUUGGAUAAUAAAAUUAAGUCAACUUCAGUUAGAACAUGCCCUACCCCAUCAUUACAAACUUACACCACACAAAACCGCGCGCUCACACGCAAGAACAUGCACCAUGGCCGCUGCAACCGUGCUGCUUCCAGCUUACGGUACAUGGCUUCACGCAAGACAGUGUAAUGAACCUCGACCACACAUGACGGACGUUUUUGUUGUGCGUACGCGCCCGGGGCACCUCACGUGCAUCCGCCGUAGUACGGCUCGCGUGUACUGAGCAACCCAUGCUGCUGCUGCUGCUAAUGGUGUGAUAUUGUACUACUCUGUGAUCUGAUAAGCAAACACACCGUAUUAAUUCAGUUCAAUUACAAACUUGGUUUUGGUCACAAUACAAUAAGUCUGCCAAUCCGGUAUAUAUAUAUGGCAUAUUGGCAUUGGGUCAUUUGUCAAUGUGGGCGGUUCAGAGCAAGCACAUGGAUACUGCGUGCCCUGCCCCUGUUCCAUUUCCCACACAUCUCGCUGACACACACAACUACAAAUUAAAAAGAGAGAGAGAAAAAAACGCUCUUAAUUGAUCCGUUCGCAAUUUGCAUUGCAAUCACACACACACACACACACACACAGAAUCGUAGUACAGUACUAGUGCCGAACUGCCGAUCGGUAGAAUCAAAAUUCGUUCUUGACCGGCGACACAAGACGACGAAGGCAUUGCAUGCACAUAGGUAGAUCGAUCGAUGGAUCAACGGAACUGGACUUUGGAGCCGUAGUUGGUGUUGGCCCUCCAGUUGGCCGGGAUGACCUGGUGGGCGAUGACGGUCUGGCCGGACUCGCUGACCAUGCGGAGGGAGAAGGGGCCCUGGAGGCGGUGGUUGGCGUCGAGGCGCCAGAUGGAUCCCCAGGAGCGGCGCAUGGGCGUCCAGACCCGCGUCGGCUUGCCGCUGGGGAGCGACUCCAUGACGUCGAGCUGCACCACCGUGCCGUCCUUGUUGGCGAACUCCACCAGCACGGCGAGGUACACCGGGUUGGACCCGGCCUCGACGUGGAAGUUCACGUAGAGGCCGCGGUGGUAGCACGGGACGCGCCUGAACUGGAUGUCGAUGAUGCCGGCGUGGCGGAGCUGGUCGUUCAGCCCCGGCCUCGCCAUGGCGCCGAACGCCGUGCCGCUCAGGUCGAAGUGGUACCUGGCCACGGGGUAGUAGUUCAUGUCCGUGAUGAUCACCGUCCUGGGCUGCCCGGAGCACGACGGGUUGUUGGUGCACCGUAUCUGAUGAUGAGGAAUAUAAUUAAGGGCAAAAUUAAUCCAUAUGUGCAUGUAAUUAAGCAGCAGCUAGCACAAAGUCAAACGCUGAACUGAAGAACGUGUUACCCACGGAUUUCAAGGCCCGUUGACCAAUCAAGUUGUGAUUACCACCAACUGCAGUUAACGUGGCGGGCAGUACGGUGCUCGUAAACAAAAUUAUGUUGGUACGGAUUUAUUUAUGAUCAGAAGUUCCAUACCCACUGUUUUGUACACUUUUCAGAUGUAGGGUACAAAGGUUAAUGUUGAGAUGUACUAUUUAUUGGAGACCGUGUCGAUAAGCCAAAACAACAUAUGUGAUCACGAACGUGGUUAUACUAUACCUGGUAGCAGGCGCCACAGCCCUUGCCGUCCUGGAACAGAGGCUCGUUGCCGCAGGAGGUCAUGGACAUGAACGGGUACUGGUUGGUGUUCUUGAACCCGCACGCACCGCCUGCGUAUCGAUCGAACAAUGCCAAUGCGUGUCAGCAUUCGAAUGUCAGAAGAGCACAUACGUACGACAGCGUAAUUUGCAAAAAAUGCAUGUACUACACGCACCGUUGUCGUCGGGUCCGGCGCCGUUGGGCUGGCCGUACCAGGUGGCCUUGGCCGGGAGCCAGUCGUUGGUGUAGACGACGCCGGCGGCGAAGCCGUACGUGGCGAGCACGGAGAGCAGCAUCGCGACGACCUUGGCAGAGGCCCCAGCCAUCUUGGGAACUCCCUCUGCUACGUACGUACAAAAGCCUGUACUACUACCUUGUCUGCUUUGUGUUUUGGCGAGAGGAGAUUUGCCCGUGUAUUUAUAGGCAGAAUUAGGCUAACUGGCAAAAACGAAAAAAACCGGAUCGAUCGGCAACUUGGCACCGAUAAGUCGUUGCACCCGACGUGCGUGCCGUGUGUAUGUGAGAGAUCGAUCGAGCGAGCUAGCUCGGUCUAGUCACAUGGCGCUGGAGCGAAUCGUGGAGGAAUGGAGAUUAAGCCUCGGUAAACGAGAAUUCCUAUUGUCAAAUCGCAUCUUGGCAGGGCGGUUAUGGCAUGUUGGGGAGGUACACUCUCGUACAGUGCAGUACGUCAUUACCUGCCAAUCAUUACUAUGUACAAGUCAACCAUCGCUUGCAGAAAGUCGGUCGGUUUUCGUAAACCGUCGGAUCUCAACACCCACCGUGCUUGGAUUGUUAACACGUGUAUAUAUCCCUCCUCUCGCUCAUAUAGGUAGCUAACGUACGUGACAGUACUGCCCUAACAUUCUUACCGUGGUCUCUACCGUUACGAGUUACGACCGAUUUAUUAAAAAAAAAUCAGUUUUAUUAUUGGACACAUAUUACCCCUCCCCUCUCCUCUGUCCUCGCCGGAUACGAUGAGGAAGGGGACAGCUUCUCGUAAGUUUUUUGAGUUUUUUUCAAUGUAGGUUGGAACUAUUUGGUGUCUAAGGUUUGCCUUUCAUGUUUUUCAUGGAAUUAAAUCUAUUUAGAUUUUUUCUUGUCUUUUUUAAUCUAUGUGUUGCUGGCUACUUCAUUCGUGAGGUCCUCGAUGGAAAUCAAGGAGACUUGCCUGUCGGUCAUCAAAUAUUACAUUGUUGGCGUUAGUUUUAGGUUCCAAAUUGUCGACUUGUUCGGUGGUAUUGGUUUGCUCUUUUGUCGAAGGAUAUAUGAAUAUGGUGAGCAAUAUUCAUUUUACAUGUUUUUGCGUGUGUUACAAUGUCAGCAUUGUGGCUACACUCAUUUGCUCAUAUCUCUUGCGGUAUUUCAAUAUGUGGAGCCUCCUUGUUCUGUGUUGGUAGUUCUUUUAUUUCCAGAUAUUGCAACAAAAAGAGUUGUAAUCUCUUUUAUAAUUUAAUAUGAGCUGCCCUGUUUUGCAAAAAAAAAAGAUAAAAGUUUCUAGUAAUUGAGCUGGUAAAAAAAUAUUAAUAUGGUCGCUGUGAUAAUAUAAAAAUGGAAGGUUUAGGAGAAUAUGAUUUCUACCCCUUAUAAAUAUCAUGGUAUUUUUCGAAUCUCUCGGUUCUUUCCACUGCGUGUCAUACAGCAGCCCUAUAAUACAAUUAUUUUUCGUGUCACACCACCGUUAUCUUCAUGACACACUCCCUAGUCAUUGCCCCAUCCCCUUCCCUGCACACCACAUCAUUGCUAAUGUGUACCACUUAUAGCACCAUGGACAAGCCAAAAUGCUUAAAGAAAAACGCGAGAAGAAGAAAUGUAUCGUUUUCCUUGCAGAGACUCGCUAACAGUGAUCUGAUUAGCGACAACUUCACCAUAAAUACCAAUGAUGGCCAAACGCGAUAUUUGGUUUGGUUUCGUAUAAGGUUUAAAAGAGGACACUUGUCGUUACUUUAAUGGAAGAUGCAUAUGAGUACUUAUGGAGAACUGGGAGUGUUCUUUUUAGCUUAUCGAUUUAUGGAAUAUACUAUGUUUCAUAUUAUAAAAAAAAAUUUCUAAAAAACUGAUCACAUUUAAAUAAGUUUAUUUAGAAAAAAAUGUUUCAAAAAAAGUUUAUUUAGAAAAUAUGUAUUAUAAUACGAAACAAAGGGAGUAUGUAUCGAUGAAUACUUCUCCAAAUACACCACUGAAAACUACAUUGUCGACUACCAAUGAAAAAAUAUAAUUAUUUAUAAAUACAAACACAUCUGUUAAAUCUGAUAUUUAAAUAUGGGCGAUUAGGUUUCAGUGCAAGGAGCCUUACCAGCUUAUUAGUUACUCAGUUCGCUUCUCUUUUUUCAUCUCUUUUUUUUUCUACUCCAGUGAUGUAUAGAAAUCCAUUAUCUUCAUAUUCUACUCUAUGACGUUGGGUUGGAUUAGGAGACGGAAGUCACGGGCAGAUAAGCCAGCUAGAAACCAAACUGCAAUAGUAUUUCCGUCGCUUUUAUUUCGUGAGCACCGAGCCCGUACGCAAGAAAAAUAAAAUACGUGUCAAAUGCAUUAUGGAGCGAGAAAUAACAGUACAAAUACAGGAAGCAUACGACAAAUGGAUACGGAGGACUACGUGGCUCGCCGACACGGUCACAGUCGAGCAUGCCUUUCAUAGUUGCAUCCACGAAUACAUAGAUGUACUCCCUCCGUUUUAAAAUGUUUAACGCCGUUGAUUUUUUAGCAUAUAUUUAAUCGUUUGUCUUAUUUAUAAAAUUUAAGUAAUUAUUAAUUCUUUUCCUAUCAUUUGAUUCAUUGUUAAAUAUAUUUUUAUGUAGGCAUAUAAUUUUACAUAUUUCACAAAAGUUUUUGAAUAAGACGAACGGUCAAAUAUGUGCUAAAAAGUUAACAGUGUCAAACAUUUUGAAACGGAGGGAGUACAUGUUUAAUUACCUCGAUCAUAUCCAUGAUCAUUGGAAUCAAUCAUUUUGUAGUAUCUAUUGUCUCGGAGCACGUUCGUUAAUGCCUGCAACUAACCAUAUGCGUGCAACCACGUUAUACCGACCAAAAUUCAUUUUGGUCGUUGAAAAAAGAUAUGAUAUCAUCGUGAUAUGUGCAUGUGUCUACCGGUCAUGCUGCUAUUAUCCCAUAAAAAUUGUGAAAUGGUAGCUGGACAGAGCGAUCGACGCUGUAAAGAGUUAUUUAAACUGAUUUCUGACGUUUCAAAGAAACCACGUAAUUUCAUUCAACUUAUAUUCGAAAAGAAAAGAGAAUAAAUCUAUUUUUUGAAAUGGAGUACUAGUUACCAAACUUGUAUUUUGUGAUAGCCUUCAACUGUGCUUAUGGUAAGAGUUUAAACCUUUGUAGGGGUAGGAAAAAACACUCAGGCUUAUAUUGGUUUGGUUUGGCUCGAUCGAUAGCCAAACGAGCAGAGCCAAAGCCUCCUCCGAACCUCAUUUCUAGAAUGAGCUGGGUUCGAGCUAGCUCAUGAGUUAUUCGGUAGCUCGCGCUAGCCAGCCUAUUAUAGUUUGGUUUAUUUGUCUAGCUCAAAGAUAAGCACUAGUAAAAACCCUAAUUCUCUCUAUUCUUUUGGGGCAGAUGACAGCGCAACAGGAGUGCAUACUCAUGCUACACCGCCAAGUCAUGCACACAGAAAAUAGCGUAGAAGGGAGCCACAUUUGUACGAUUACACAAUAUUGACUUACGCCUACGCUGACAACGCAACCAACUAGUCGCUUCCCCCUCAAUUGAAAUUGGAAAUAACGUCGCCGCUCCUUGCCAGCUUGUCCUCGCAGGUGUAGUUUACAACCUAUGAGUCACAAGUUCGAAUGCCUGGGUAAGGGGCGUGGUGCGCUAGACUUGGCCUCCACCUAUGCUUCAAUCUCUCCAAUGUCUAUCAUUGCUUGUCUGUUUCGCAACUGUUCAAGUGAAGAGGCUCGUGAGCCAGAUCGAGUUGGCUCAAGCUAGAAAACAUAGGGCCUGUUUGGGGAGCUUUAGAUUCUGAAAAGUAGCUGUUUGGUAGCCAGCUUCUAAGAAUCUGGAAAAGCUCUGAAACCCAGCUUCUGGCUUCUUAGUUUAUUUUUCAGAAUCUUUAACUACAUAUUCUCAAAAGCUGUGGACUGUUAGGGGCAGUUUCUAGCAGAAGCAGCUUUUGGGAAAAGCUACAGCUGGGACAAGCUCCCCCAAACAGCGACAUAGUAUUUCCAAUUAGCUGAUUUAUAUAUUAGCAUGGACUACUCAACAUAAUCUAGGGUCAUGAUAAUCCAACCCAUCAAAUUAACAGCCGGUUCUUUCUGUAGCUUGUGAGUAUCCUUAGAGUGACCAAUUAGUAUAGGUAUAAAUGCUCAGUCUAAUUAAGGUUAGACACAAAUUUGUAUGCAAGUGUAGUUGCUCUCUCAAACAUAUGUUUCUUAGGUUAAAAAGAAAAGGAAAAAAAACAUUAUUCAACCAGACACCCGUAUAAUAAGUAGUUGCACCAAACAAAGUUUUCAUAAUCCAACUCAACAACAAACAAAUCCAUAAAGCUAUCGUUACCAAAGUGACAAAAAAAAGAACAAACUCUUUGUAAGAAAGUAAACUCCCCCAAGCAUGGCAUUUGUAAUUUCCAUGGUCAACUUCAGUUUUAGUCCUUAAAAGAUGAAAACGUGAAGCUUGGAAGUAUUUAAUUUGCACUCGAACUGACCAAGAAUUUCAGCGCAUGCCAAAAAUACUAAAAAUUACUUCAACCCUGACAGGACUGACAGGUUUAAUAUCGUUUACUCCUACCAUUGACUUGUCACGGAUGCCCUCCAGUACAAGAGAAAAUCUCUUAUAUACCCCUGAAAUUUUACCUAAUCCCUUCUAUACCCCUGAAUUUUGCUUACUUCCUUGUAUACCCCCAAAAUUUGAUUUUGAUCCCUUGCAUACCCCUCCCAUCAGUUGACCGUUAGUUGACCGUCUAUUUUCCAUAAAAAUGACCAUUUUACCCUUGGAUGAACAAAGAAAUUCAUGAAUUACAUUAUUAAAAAUAUAAAAGCUUCUCGCAUGAGACUAUUAUAGUUAUGAGUUUGUUGUGCGAUGCAUUAUUUAUCCCAAAAAUAUUUUUAGAUCAUGAAAUAAAAAACACGUAUUUAUUUUUUUAAAAAAAGUCAUAAAAAUGAGGAGCAUUCAUAUAAAGAUAGGACUACCAAUGUUCAUAACAUUUUUUUUAUGAAUGCUCCCGAUAAAAAAAUCCAUUGUCCUAUUAAAAUUUGAAAUAAAAAUUUUAAUUUAUUACAUUUAUUUUAUUUUCAAAAUUUAUGUCAAAAUUUUCUGCACUAAUUAUUUAGUUUCAUUAGUCUUAUAAAAUGCACAUACUGUGCACCCAAACAAAAUUUUUUCAAUUAUUUUUUAAGCUUAUAUUUAAACCUAAAGCAUCUAGGGCAAAAAGGAUAUUUGCAACCAAACGUAACAGUGAAAUGAUGGAAAAUGUAACGGUAGGGGCAUGGAAGGGAUCAAAUUGAAUUUUCAGGGGUAUAGAAGGGAUUGGGUAAAUUUCAGGGGUAUGAAAGGAAUUGAGUGAGUUUUCAGGGGUACACAGGAAAUUUACUCCCAGUACAAAGUGCAGUGGACUGGAGACGAGUAAGGCCAUGAGAUUGCAAAUGGACGGCCACGAUCCGACGACUUCUAAGCCAUGCGUUUACAAGGGUCCCUGCUCUCCGUCCAUUUCACUUCCUGGAUGAUGAAUUGAUGAUGCGGACUGACACAUAUAUGGUGCAAAUAGUGGGCGCACGUGACAUUGCCACCAUAGUCUCCACCGUGGGUUUCCCUGACACGUUAACUGGCGUGCGCGAGUUUUCUUUUAUCCGCCAGAGUAUUGCAAGUGAAUGGUACUCCUCACAUGCGCGUCUACUUGGCACCUGCGCGACGACGCCUCCUUCCGUGCUUCGGUUGCCCAAACAUCUCUCGUCCACCGCCGCACGCAACGCACUCGAUCGUUGAAAUCAGCACAUGAAUAACAGCACAUCACCGCAAACGGAUGAGAUGCCGUGGCUGCUCUUCUCAGCUCAGGCUCAGCGCGAGCGUGCGAUGCAGCAAGCGGAACAGAGCGCCGGCCGCGCGUGCCAAACGGCCAGCGAAACACAAGGUAGCUGCUCGCCUCGCCCGACGGUGCGCCGGCGCCGGCGAUCGGGUGAGAACGUACGGUGUUUGCUUACCAGCUAGCCGUUCACAUGCAAAGCUGUUACCAAAUCGGAAAAGGCUCGUUAACGGUUUUCCCGGUUUCCGUAAAAACCACCGAACACAGUUGAAGGGAUAAUUUUUAAAAGAGUACAUUGCGCAUUGGGCCUCCUAUUUUGACUUAAAGUUGCAUAUUGGACUAGGUACUGAUAAAAAAUUCACUUUGGGUUAGGUUUGUUUACUCCAUGACACUUUGCACUUUGGACUAGCAGCCCCAUGUGUCAGUGCCCAACAAUCCUCUUCCUCAUCAGUUUACUUUGACCUGUGAGCUGCGCUCUCUCGCUUACAUGAGCAAACUCAGUGUCGAGCCGUCGAGGAGCACCUGCUCCCCUGUGGUAGUGCUUGUUAUUGGAGUUAAUCCUUAAACAUGUACUUAGGAUAUGCAUGAUUACCUAAUUUUUUAUGUGGAAUUUGGUGUUUUACUGACCGGAUCUUGAUGAAGCCAUGAGUCACGUCAGUGUACUGGUAGUAGGGCGUUGGUGAUGGAGAUCACCGAGCGGCAGUGGCGACGGAAUUCGCCCUGGUGCGGCGGUGGCAAUAGGAAUUCGACCUUCGCUCCCCUCCAGCACGUCUUAAGAUCAUUAGUCUGAUGGUUUUGGGAAUGGUUUAGAGUACAUGAGUUGUCACUCGUGCAUGAGUCUCACUCUUCAAAGUCAAGGAGCGUGUGAGCCUUGGUGGGCUGAGCCCAAUGCUCUCCUUUCUGGCUCGGUGGCCAAAGAUCAACCAACACUUGUGCCCCCCACCUAACGAGAAGCUUGAGGACCAUGGCUUGAGUUCUCACAAUUUGUUGUUAGUUUCCAAAUCCAACGCAUGAAAGAUUGAUCCUCUUCCGUUAGUGAUUAUUGAAUCCAGCUCAAACACCACCUUAUAAAGGAACUGUACACUGAUAAUGUGCUCGUCAAGAUUGCCCUGAUGAGAGAAGAAAGAAAGGGCUGGGACAGAUGGAGAGAACGUUGCCUCAAAGUGAGACCAGGUAUAAACUUAGCCGGUCCAAAAUGAAAACUUUCUCUUAUCCUUAGCCAAACUUGCAAAACAGGUAAAAACAAGUGAUCCAAUGUUCAAUGCACUCUUUUUUAAAAAUUUAAAAUUUUAUUUGAAUUUUUUUAAUUUUGAUAUGUUUAUCAUGUAGCUUAUCACCUUGAGCGGUUGAGCCAACUUAAAACCUUGAAAUUUCACGAGUGGUGGGAGGAGCGUGUAGCACGCGAAGAAGUACCCAAGUAUAAGUUAUGAUACUUACUUCAACUAACAACCUAAGAAAUAGAUAAAUUUUAGUAUCUCAAGGUAUCUAAAUUUACACUGAAAUCUUUUGUAAUUUAAGGUACUUAAUAUCUGGAAGUACCAAAUUUUACACUAAAAAUAUGGUAUCUUCAAGUAUUUUUUCAAUGAUGAUAAAGUUAAUUAAGAAAUAUGGAAGAAGAGAAAUCAAAUAGGCUUUCAGCAAAUAGGACUGUCAAUGACAGCAUUCCAAACAAAAACGGAGGGGAAAACAUGAGCGAUGUGGGGAGCCAACCACAUAGCGGAGCUUUUACCUUAGUCCCAUGGCAACCUCUUCGUAUAAAACAUUAAUUUUUUUUCCUUUGUUAUGUACGAAAAUUCCUUUUCACUAUAUUCAAUAAAAUUGGUAUGCUGGUGUCGGUUUGUUCAAAGAAAGAAAGAAACAUCAAAUUUCACAAAAACCGACCACGAACCCUGCUGCGCACACGCGCAGUCCACCCGCCGCGUAGCAAGCAGAGCACCGUGCCACCCGCAGUGCAAAACCGGAAAUGCUUACCAUCGGCCGUCCGGCCAAAAAUAAAAAAUCGGACGUCUCAAUUUAAAAGAACAACAGUGUAGGUGUAUGGUAAAACGGUUGGUUAGGUGUACUGACAAACCAACAGAGCAUGCAUGUAAACAUGUUUCAAAAUUUAAAUGAUUUGUUCUCUUAAACUAUUUAUCUGAAUUUCAAACCAAUUAUAUCAUUAGAUUCGUUACAUUUAAAUCUUUAUAACAAGAUAUCACAUGACUAUAUUCCGAUGACUUUUAAUUUUACUUUUUAAAUGUUGCACACAUUGUUACUGAAAUAUUCCAACAAGUAUUUAUUGAUGUUUCACUAAUUCAUUAGCAAUGUUUCAUGCUAUCUUUUUUUAUAUGUUACAGCAAAUACGUUUUUUAUGUUUCAACAAUAAUUAUAAUUUAACAAUAAUUAUAAUUCGAUGUUUCAAUCUAAAUAUAAAAAAUGUUUCACUAGUCGGGACUUAAUGUUUGAUGUAAUAAUGAUUAUUGUUGCAGUCAAUACUUUUUAUAUGUUGUACCUCUUUAGAAUAAUUUGUGAAGUGGGUUGAAACAUCUCCACAAAAGAUGAAAGAAUUAUUUUUAAAUAGUUUAACAUAAGUUUGUUUUCUUCUAGAAUGCAUAUAUAUUUUUAUCAAAAUAUAUUCAUGUGAGAUCUUGUUAUAAAUGAUAGAUUGGAUAUAUAUUUUAGAAUAAAAUUUUGUUUAAAGUUUGAUUAAGAGAGAGAAUGUAAUGGUGCCUCAGGCCACCUUGGCAGCCAGCUCUACUCCUGCAUGCAUGCAUGCGACAACCUUGCCCCUCCAACGCGUCCCUGCAUACAGACGAAGAGCAGCAUUCGAUAUUUGAAAAAAAUAUUGAACACACGAUUUGUAACGUCCGAUUUAAAAAUAUUUCAACAUAAUUAAGUAUUUGUGCAAAAUUCUAAUGGUAUAAUUGAAAUUUUGAUCAGAUAUAUAAUUUUGGAGAAAAAUAUUUACAAUUUGAGGAAAAAAAUUAGGCACGUGUAAUAGGAGGGAGAGGGAGAGAGAGUAUGCAAGCAGCAGCGCAAGCAAAACACAAGCCGAACGGUCCGAUUUUUGGUGUGAUGCCGAACGGUCCGAGCCGUAGCGCUCUCCGCGCAAAACACAAGCUAUAGCUGGUGAGAUCGGCAGGGCUGGCGCGGCUGCGCGCGCGCGCGGCCCCGGAAUCCGGUGCGAGAGAGGGUGAUGGCGCCAUCUCGCUUGCCGGCUCCUCGAUCGUGGUUGCACCGGCCGGGAGCGGGGAGAGCGGUUGUGGUUGGGUUGCGGUCGCCGCUGCAGCUGCAAGCGAGCGUACGUGGUGGUGGCCCUGGACCUCACAUGCGCGCGGAGAGGCGACGAGACGAGUGCAACGCAGCGCAGCGCAGCCGUCGGCAUCCCACUUAUCGCCCGCACAUGCGCCCGAAUCCAUCAUGAGUCAGUUACUUUGUCCCUUUCCGCGGUUAACUGUUGAGACAAACGGAGAAAAAGAAAAAAAAAAGAAAGGGUCGGAGGUUGACGUCCCUUUCGGCGGUUUCCUCUCCUCACAAGAGAAAAGCAAAAGCAUCGGUGAACAUUUGCUUCCGCUAUUAUCCAUGCAUCCGAACAGAGCUAGCACAUCUUCCUUUUCGUUUUUCUCUACACCUUUCUCUAGUGUAACAAAGUUCAUCAAGCAUUUUGGUUGAAGACAAAUUGGUAGCCUAAUGUCCAAACGUACAUAUAAGUUACGAGUACUAACUUCAAGUAUUCAGUUUUUUGUUGAAGACAAAUUACUAGUCUAACCAAACCUUACAAUCAGGUUCAGUCAGUUCGACGCCCGUAAUUACGGCGAAAAUCCAGUAGGUCCCUCGGUGGGUGAACUUUUGCGGCGCCGUUGACUGCUCGCAUGUCUAGUUAACGGCUCGUUCAUCAUCACCAUGUAUCACGGUUAUAGAUUUUGUUACGAAAAGGAAAAUGAAAACUUUGGAGUGAAAAGGACUUGUAUUGUGUUGUGGGAUUAGUAUCCUUUGCGUUCAGUGGAAGCACAGCCACUGCAAUUAAGUACUCCUAAUACGUACGUGCUUUGGUCGUUGCAGGAAAUUAUGAUGUUCUUUUUCAGGAUUUCUAGAAUCCACCAGAAAAGAGAAGAAACCAAACUUUAAGGAACUUUUUUUAUCAAUAAAUAUAGGUCACCAGAAUUUGCAAAUGUUCCUUCAUUUUAAAAUUCUGGAAAGGCAGAGCAACAUUCCAAGUCAGAUCCUUUCAGUUUGUAGUAAAUCAAUUCAUUCACCUUUUUCAACCUCCAGGUCUUAAUAAUCUUAUUCAGAAGUCUUUCCACCGGAGCAGGACGUCGGUUAGGAGGUCAGGAUCGUAUUCCUAAUAGCAAAAGUGAGUCAGAUAGUAGAGUGCAUGCAUUGAGUCAGCUUUGAUCGAAAUAGCGAAAGUGAUAAAGUGAAACGAACAGAUACGGCGGUUAGGGCAUUUACAAAGGCACGUACACAAGAUAGAUUUUGGAGAUAUAUAUAUUUUAGAUUGAGAGACAUACAGAAGCAAAAGAUCCAGCUGGAUACCACACAAUAAACUGCAUGUUCAUGAAGAUUGAAGAGGAGUACCACUACUGUGCAUCAGACAAGGAGAAGGCACAGGUGAGAAAUGGAAGCAUUGAUCAUACUGAAUGCCAGGCAGCAAACUGUAUACUAGUAGUAUAAUUUAUGACCUUUGUUCUGGUUACACAAACAGUGACACUGGUACAGUGAGAGUGGGCGGGACAGCACAUGCAAACUUUGCCUCCUCCUUAUCCCACUCUCAACCUCAAGACACCGAGCGAUGUCUAUAUGACACCCAACAACCGACGUCUCACCUACUCAAAACGAACUCCUGAUGACAGAUUAAUGAACCAUCCAUGCAAAUCCAUACAAUACCGAGGGAGAGCUAAUCAAUACCCGAGCAGAUAAAAAUGGCCAAACGAUCGAUCUCAAAUGUCGUACGUAGAGGUAUGUAUAGUAGCUAAUGCUGCUUCUGCUGCUGCUAUAGUAGGCAUGAAUUAUGCUUGUUCUUGAUCAUUGGCUUAGCUGCUGUACUGGACGAAAGAACGGUAGACGGCCAUGGGGGCCCAGUUGGCCGGGAUGACCUGGCUGGCGACGAGCUGCUUGCCGGACUCGUUGGUGAUGCGGAGCGAGAAGGGCGCCGUGAGGCGGUGGUUGGAGUCGAGCCUCCAGAUGGAGCCCCACGACUCGCGCAUCGGCGUCCACGACUGGGAGUUGGCCUCCAUGAGAUCCACCUGCACCACGUCGCCGUCGCCGUCCUCGUACUCAACCAGCACCGCGAAGUACACCGGGUUCGACCCCUCCUCCACGUGGAACGUCACCUUCAGCCCAGGGAAGUUGCACGGCACCCUGCAUGGCCAAACCCCCAACAAUCCAUGUGUUAGUGUUACAUUCUUAUCAGAUUAAUUCAGAGUGAGUAUGCAAGGCAGUAUAGUAGUAGGUGAUGACAGGCAGAGGCGACAAAUUGUAAAGCGGCUGCAUGUACUUAAUUAAAAGAGUUUUAGUGGUAUUUGUGCGAUCAGAAUCUGCUUGGGUCCCGGAGGACAUACAAGCAAUGUCGCUGUCGGGUUUGCACCCAAAAGUACGAGGGCUCCACGACGGCACAAGCUAGCAACUGCAAGGCAAGGGGUGGCCAUGAUGAUGCUUCUGUUCGUGCAGCCUGCAGGAGCUACUAGCCUACUACUAAACUAUUACCUCUUGAACUGGAUGUCGAUGAUGCCGGCGUGGCGGAGCUGGUCGUUCUGCCCCGGCUUGGCCAUGGCGCCGAACGCCGUGCCGCUCAGGUCGAAGUGGUACUUGGAAACGGGGUAGUAGUUCAUGUCGGUGAUGAUCACCGUCUCCGGGUUGCCGGAGCAGGCAGGGUGGUUGACGCAUCUUAUCUGAAGAAAAAAAGAAGCCAUGCACCAGCAACAAACAGUCAACAACACUGUGAAUACCUACGUCUCGAUCAGUCGCUUCGCAUCAACGGCUCAACGCCCGUCGUCAUUGCAAAUUUGAGCUG